UGUCUAGAUGGCUUAGUGGUCAAGAGCAUCUGCCCAAUAAGCAAGAGACCUGGGUUCAAAUCCCAGUUGGGCAA